UACGGAGGGGGCUAGCGUUAUUCGGAAUUACUGGGCGUAAAGCGCACGUAGGCGGCUUUGUAAGUUAGAGGUGAAAGCCCGGAGCUCAACUGCGGAAUAGCCUUUAAGACUGCAUCGCUAGAACGUUGGAGAGGUAAGUGGAAUUCCGAGUGUAGAGGUGAAAUUCGUAGAUAUUCGGAAGAACACCAGUGGCGAAGGCGACUUACUGGACAACUGUUGACGCUGAGGUGCGAAAGCGUGGGGAGCAAACAGG
rnacentral:rRNA from 1 species